UGGGGAAUUUUCCGCAAUGGGCGAAAGCCUGACGGAGCAACGCCGCGUGAGGGAUGAAGGCCUCUGGGCUGUAAACCUCUUUUUUCAAGGAAGAAGAUCUGACGGUACUUGAUGAAUAAGCCACGGCUAAUUCCGUG
rnacentral:rRNA from 1 species